UCAGGUUUUAGAUAUUGUAAAGAGCGCCAGGAAGAAAGAUGGAUUGAAGACGACCAAGGUGAAGAGGUCGUCAGAAACUGAAGAAAAAACCAAUCGAUCGAGACGAGUUUCAUUGGGGAAUAAUGCAAAGGUAGAGGACCUGGAGUUUAUGAGACUAAGCUUGGAUACAAUGCAACGGGUAUGGGACC